rnacentral:rRNA from 1 species
AGUAAACGCAGACGUCUGAUAAACAAGUUAAUAAACUAAAACUUUCAACAACGGAUCUCUUGGUUCUGGCAUCGAUGAAGAACGCAGCGAAAUGCGAUAAGUAAUGUGAAUUGCAGAAUUCAGUGAAUCAUCGAAUCUUUGAACGCACAUUGCGCCCCUUGGUAUUCCGGGGGGCAUGCCUGUUCGAGCGUCAUUACAACCCUCAAGCUCUGCUUGGAAUUGGGCACCGUCCUCAUUGCGGACGCGCCUCAAAGACCUCGGCGGUGGCUGUUCAGCCCUCAAGCGUAGUAGAAUACACCUCGCUUUGGAGCGGUUGGCGUCGCCCGCCGGACGAACCUUCUGAACUUUUCUCAAGGUUGACCUCGGAUCAGGUAGGGAUACCCGCUGAACUUAAGCAUAU